CUAACAUGUGACAAGUGGAUGAUAUUUGACUUACAGUGGAACUUUACAGGAUUUCAAAAUUGUCAAGGUACAUUGAAUGUCAUCCAGCACAGUGUAAAUUAAAUCUCCCACCAAAAAGAAUAUCUGUUUAUUUUAUUUAUCUGAUGUAAAAGUUUAUCCAGUUUGUUUACAAACAGUAGGUGUUGUGAUCGUGAGUGCCUCGAUAGCCUGUACAUCCGUCAUCAGCACAGGAUUUUUAUUAUGCCUUUUUUACCCCGUCACUUCUAACUUUUAAUUUGUGAAUGAGAGCAGUGGAUUAAUUCAUUAGAGGGAUAUAUUGAACCAGGUUUUCAGUUUGGACUUGUGUGUGAUUUGUAUCUCACAAUUCGAGACGUUUCCUUCGGGGGUACCAUCACUGAGGGUCAGGGUACCUCACUGAGGGUCGGGCUACCUCACUGAGGGUCGGGCUGUGACUGUGUCAGGGAGUCAGCAUGCCAUCAUUUAUUACACCUGUUCCUCCAGCAUCAUGUCCCAACGUGAUUCAGAAACCGACAGUGAUUUCCAUGGUGGGGUUACCCGCCCGCGGCAAAACAUACAUGUCAAAGAAGCUGACGCGCUACCUUAACUGGAUCGGGAUCCGAACUAAAGCCUUUAACGUUGGGGAAUAUCGCCGGGCAGCCACGGAUAAGUAUCGAAGUCAUGAUUUUUUCCGACAAGAUAACUCGGAAGCCCAGGCGAUCAGACAGAAGUGUGCGUUGAUGGCGAUUGAUGAUGCCUGUAAUUUUCUUCAGAAUGGAGGUGAAGUGGCAGUGCUGGAUGCCACCAACACGACGCGAGAACGGAGGAAGUUGCUUUUCGACAUCAUUCAGGUCCAGUACAAAUUCAAGCUGUUCUUUGUGGAGUCCAUCUGUGAUGAUCCCACCAUUGUGGAGGCCAAUGUACUGGAAGUAAAGAUUUGCAGUCCGGACUACAUCGGGAUGAACAAGGAUGAGGCAGUGAAGGAUUUCAUGAGGAGAAUCGAGCACUACAACUCCAUGUACCAAUCGCUCGACCACGCAACCGACAAAGAUCUGUCCUAUAUACAGAUAUUUAACCAGGGCGAAAGAUUCCUAGUCCAUAAACUAGCAGGUCAUCUACAAAGUCGAGUUGUAUAUUAUCUCAUGAAUAUUCAUGUAUUACCAAGGACUAUAUACUUAACAAGGCAUGGAGAAUCUUGUAUGAACUUAGAAGGAAGAAUUGGAGGAGACAGCGCAUUGUCACCUCGCGGAGAGGAGUACGCCUUUGCCUUAGGGGAAUACUUAGAGAAAGAAAAGAUAGCGAAUCUAAAGGUGUGGACAAGCGAACUACAGCGUACCAAGGCCACAGCCCGACAUGUGGACGCCCCUGUAGAGCACUGGAAAGCUUUAAAUGAAAUUGACGCAGGUAUUUGUGAAGGCAUGACUUAUGAGGAAAUCCAGUCCAAGCACCCGAAAGAGUUCGCAAUGAGAGACCAGGAUAAAUUUCACUACCGAUACCCAGGGGGAGAGUCUUACCAAGAUUUGGUUGCUCGACUUGAACCAGUGAUAAUGGAGCUGGAGAGACAAGAGAAUGUAUUGGUGAUCUGUCAUCAGGCCGUGGCUCGCUGUUUAUUGGCCUACUUCCAGGACAAAUCCUCAGAUGAAAUCCCACACGUGCCGGUUCCCAGCGAGGCAGUGGUCAAAAUGAGAAUGUCUGGACGGGGUUGCGAGUGUGAAAACAUACACCUGUUAAAACCCAGAAGACCUGGCUUAUCUGAAGGUUCCCUUGCACACAGUCAUCAAACUGACACCAGUAGCCUAUGGUUGUAGGGUGGAGUUUGUCAACCUCAAUAUCGAAGCUGUCAACACUCACAGGGAAAAACCCAAGCUCUUGCAGGUCUUUUAUUGGUACAGACCCUGAAACGUGCUACUACACCAGUUGCACGGUACGGUUCGGUACGCUUUAUGAACGGUACAGUUCGUUUUCUGAACGGUACGGUUCGUUUCUUGAACGGUACGGUUCGUUUCUUGCACAGUACGGUACGCUUCUUGAACGGUAUGGUUCGCUUCUUGCACGGUACGGUUUGCUAAAAACGUUUUAUUAAUGAGGUGGGCGUGGCCUGAACGCUUUGACUUCGUAUAAAUUGUACGUUUCGAUAGUUUGUUUUCACUCGAUCGGUCUUAUUCGGCUCUUUGAUUAUCGGCUGCAGGAUUUGUGGUUGUGUUAGAAUGUGCACAUGGGGAAAUGAGACGUUAUUUUUGAUUGCUUCGAUGGAAUAAUUCCAUAUUGAUAACGUACAUAAAAGUUAUGAAUAAAAUUUUUUAGAAUUUGCUUAAGUCUAAGUCUUAAUGGUUGUUAUUACGUUUCAAUUUGUUUUUCAUUUCUCAUCAGACAUUUAUUAAUUUACGAUUUUAUAAAAAGUUGUUACAUGAACUGCUCCCCGACAUGGGCGUGCAUAAGUGUAAAAACAAAGCAUAUUAAGUUUCCGGAUAUAAAUUACAGUGCCUAAAUUGGAAAAGUUUUUAAGAAGAAGUGAAUUUUGUUUUGAAUACACUAAAGUCGCAAAUGACACAAUGAUUAUUUUCUGCACUUCACAUUUAUUGUGAUUUAUCAUCGGCAUUAUGAAAGAUCCAGGAUAUCUGCACGUGAAGUUUGUACGUCCUUUUUUGUCAGCAUUCAGUCAUUCAUAAUUAAUAAUGUUAGAUAUCUGUUGCAUUUGUCUUUGAAUCAAAUAAAAUGAUGAUAAUACAUAUAUAUUCCCAUCCUUUAUCACGCGAAGUCCGAUUUUCAUUUCCCUGACUUUAUUUUUGAUCACUGAAAAUUGAAUUUAAAAAAAUUAACAGAAAAGUAAGGCAAGUGUAUAGUUUGCAAUAAAAAUGUUUCAUAUACCUUUUCUAUAUAUUGUUGAAAUACUUGAAAAUGCUGAAAUGAAUAAUUUUUUGCAGCCGAUUUGAUGCUUUGCAUCAAUUUAACUUGUUUACAUUCUUUUGCACAUGUAUGUAUCUAUUUAUUUCUCUGUCGGUGUAAUUAAAAAUUGUUUAUUAGUGUAUAUAAUAAAUCCGCCAAUCUACAUCUAUCUAUAUGGGUCGUUAUCAAUGUAGAAGAGAAAAAGAUAUGUCAAAAUUAUUGCUAAUAAAGUAAUGAAAAUAUUACAGUGUAGAACGUGACAAUUUUUCUAAUCGGUCUAGAAAUUUCUCAUAUGAUUCAGACACUGUACGUAGGAAAGUACAUAUUGAAUACAUUAACGCUACAAAUAUCAAUUUCAUCUUCUUACGGCAAGCCCUGUGCCAUACGUGUAGUAGCAUUAUCAGGGACGUCGACGUCCCUGAUUAUAUGAAGAAAUUAAAUAGGCUACUUGUAAGUACUAUUACAGUAUUGUAGUUAACUUCACCCUUGAAUUUAAAAGAAUUGAUUGAAACAGAAAUUCCGUUAAAACAACGAAAUGCCCCUUGGUUCACUCUUUAAAAGUCUGCAAGUGAAAUAUACAUCCACAGUACACAGGACUGGCUGCAGAAGCAUGCAUGCAAAAUCCGUGCAGUGAUCUGACGUCUAUUUCUGUUAACAGUUCACAGUAUAAAACGAAUUUUUAUGCAUAAUUCAGUCAAAACUUGGGUACUUGUUGAUAACAUACAUACACAUAUAUGCACUGAAACAAUGUGACAUUUACGGAAAGUAAUUUUAAAAAAAAAAGAAUAUCAAAGAUGUUUAAAGCAUCUCGGUGAUUUUCACAGUUGACAACCCAGCUUCGUGAUGUUUGAGGAUAAUGCUUCGAAUAGCCAGCGAUAGUCUACGACCUCCUUUCCCAUCGGGCGCCAUUGUGAAAAUAAUAUACUGUGGCUGAAAAAGUGGGUCACGUGACAUAAAUUGCACGCUUUCUGCACGGUACGGUACGCUUUUGGGGGCGGGGUGUGCAUAAUAUUAUCCUGCACGCUUUCUGCACGGUACGGUACGCUUUUUGAACGAUACGGUUCGUUUCUUGAACGGGACGGUACGUUUCUUGAACGGUACGGUUCGUUUUUUGCACGGUACGGUACGUUUCUUGAACGGUACGGUUCGUUUCUUGCACGGAACGGUUCGGUUCAUUUUUAAGGUGUAGUAGCACGUUUCAGGGUCUGUAUAUUAUCAUUGAUUAUUAGCACAAACAUUGUACAGCGCAUAGAAACUAUAUGUAAUUUUGCACUUUAUAAAUGAAUAAAAUAAUAAUAAAUAGCAAAUUAUGUGUUCACCCAAACAGUCUAUGCGAAAGUUUUUUGGACCACACAGGACAUUCUGUCCUGUGUAAUCAAUGAACACACCGGACCGAACCAAAUUUUGUCAGACCGAAAAACCUAAUGUAAAAAAGUGAAACAUGUGAAAA